CACAUAAGUCAUCCUCUUAUAACCUCAGGGUAUUUCACAUUCUGACGAAUCAAAAUCUUUUUUUCACUCUCCCUACUCAUGUUAGGCAUUGUCAGGUAAUGAUAACAUCUGCUGUGUGAAACCUUUUUUAAAGCACACUGAAAGCCAGUGUCCCAAAGUUCUGGGAUAUAAAGAAAAUCUGGGAACAGCAGCUCCAUCUCUUCCUGAAGAUUUAUCACCACAGAAUGAUUCCCCUGUGGAAGCAAAGAAGACAAUGUUCUCAGUGAAGCUCUGCCAGGUCCAGCGCCUCCUGUCAGGCAGUUCACAACCUCAGCCCCUUUAGAUACCCCGCACCAGCCAGCAGCCUCUGUCGCAGGCUGCGAUGAGGAUUUUGCACCCACCUCAGCCUGAGCUCAUAGACUUAAUCUCUGAGCUGCCUUCACCAAAGUAC